rnacentral:rRNA from 1 species
UCUCCUGGAAACGGGUGGUAAUGCCGGAUGCUCCAGUUGAUCGCAUGGUCUUCUGGGAAAGCUUUCGCGGUAUGGGAUGGGGUCGCGUCCUAUCAGCUUGACGGCGGGGUAACGGCCCACCGUGGCUUCGACGGGUAGCCGGCCUGAGAGGGCGACCGGCCACAUUGGGACUGAGAUACGGCCCAGACUCCUACGGGAGGCAGCAGUGGGGAAUAUUGCACAAUGGGCGCAAGCCUGAUGCAGCGACGCCGCGUGAGGGAUGGAGGCCUUCGGGUUGUAAACCUCUUUUAUCGGGGAGCAAGCGAGAGUGAGUUUACCCGUUGAAUAAGCACCGGCUAACUACGUGCCAGCAGCCGCGGUAAUACGUAGGGUGCAAGCGUUAUCCGGAAUUAUUGGGCGUAAAGGGCUCGUAGGCGGUUCGUCGCGUCCGGUGUGAAAGUCCAUCGCUUAACGGUGGAUCCGCGCCGGGUACGGGCGGGCUUGAGUGCGGUAGGGGAGACUGGAAUUCCCGGUGUAACGGUGGAAUGUGUAGAUAUCGGAAAGAAACACCA